GUCACUCUCACUCACCCUCACCUCACCUCACCUCACCUCAGACCUAAAUCCCGAUCUCUCUCUCGGUCUCUCCUCGCCGAUUUGUCUCUCCUCCCACAUCCGUCGCCUGAAUCCCGAAUCUACCCGCACGGCCACACCAGUCCUCAUUCCUCUGGGUCCUCACUCCUCACCUGAAUCGCGCCUUCACCCACUGUCCUCCAUACCAAUCCUCAGUCCGCACUCCUCCUCAUUGCAAAAGGUAAGAAAUUCCUGCAAUAAACUCACCCAAAGUUCAUACAAAUUGUUUGAUUCCAAAUUUGAUUAGAGAUUUUAAAUUUGGGUUUCUGAAAUUAGGGUUUCUGAAUUAGGGAUUUUGAAUCGACGGAGAGGUUAGGAACCCGCUACUUUCUGAUCUAUAUCGCUAUUGUGUAUAUGUGAUUCUGUAUAGUCUUCUGGCAGGUUGAAUGAUAUAUCUCUAUGAUUUUGUCAAAUCUGUUUUCCAGGUGCUAAACAAAGAACAUGAGAAAGCUGAGGAUGCAAAGCCAGCAACUGCCUCGUCUGUCGCUGGAAACUGAAAACCAUGAUUUGCUGGUGGCUAGGGUUUCAACCGUUGUGACACUGCCUUAACUUUUGUUGUGGAGCCAAUUCGAUCUGCUACUUUUGAGGCGUUUAUUCAAAAUUUUGUACUCUCAAGAUUGACAAGAUUUGCAGGUUGAGAUAUUUCUGCCAUUGAUUUGUUAUACUAUGUCAGGAACAGUUUAAGCAUCUCGUAACAUAUGCUUAAGUACACUAUACGAGUAGACUGUUGAUGCAUUUCUCCGAUUGACAAGCAUUCAUCUUUAAUCAUGUAUCUAGCUAGAUUGCUUAAAAAAUGGAACGAUCUCCUUUGCAAGUAAGUGUGCCAUUUCAUGAUUGAAGAUCAAACUGUUUGAGCUCCAUGUUGUGGAUUCUUGUAAAAUGUAUAGAGUUGAUUAGAUCCAUAGAAGAAUCUAGAGUUUUUCAAAGCUUUCACAAACAUGAUUAAUAUCACAGUUUCAUUCAAUAAAUUGGGAUGUGAAUGAAUGAUUAUGCUUUUGUUAUGACUUAGGUUUUUCCAUCAAAUCAACCCACCAAAUGUUUAGCUUUUUAUGAAUCAAACCUCCAUGUUUAGAUUUAGUUCGUGACCCUCCCCAUUUGUAUGUAAUCUGUAUGCAG
rnacentral:lncRNA from 1 species